UGGGGAAUUUUGGACAAUGGGCGAAAGCCUGAUCCAGCAAUGCCGCGUGUGUGAAGAAGGCCUUCGGGUUGUAAAGCACUUUUGUCCGGAAAGAAAUCCUUGGCUCUAAUACAGUCGGGGGAUGACGGUACCGGAAGAAUAAGCACCGGCUAACUACGUGCCAGCAGCCGCGGUAAUACGUAGGGUGCAAGCGUUAAUCGGAAUUACUGGGCGUAAAGCGUGCGCAGGCGGUUUGCUAAGACCGAUGUGAAAUCCCCGGGCUCAACCUGGGAACUGCAUUGGUGACUGGCAGGCUAGAGUAUGGCAGAGGGGGGUAGAAUUCCACGUGUAGCAGUGAAAUGCGUAGAGAUGUGGAGGAAUACCGAUGGCGAAGGCAGCCCCCUGGGCCAAUACUGACGCUCAUGCACGAAAGCGUGGGGAGCAAAACAGGAUUAGAUACCCUGGUAGUCCACGCCCUAAACGAUGUCAACUAGUUGUUGGGGAUUCAUUUCCUUAGUAACGUAGCUAACGCGUGAAGUUGACCGCCUGGGGAGUACGUCGCAAGAUUAAAACUCAAAGGAAUUGACGGGGUCAUAGCUG
rnacentral:rRNA from 1 species